GUUACUGCUAUGAACAGGAAUAGUAGUAUUCUUAGCAUUUCAAGAGAGCUGUUGGUUGCUGGAAAACAGUAAUGCUGGUAUAUGAACUCGCCUGGGAGCUUAUCUACAGAAAAGUAGAUACGGUAAUGCCGUUAUUUAAUGAGUGAGGUUAAUUCAUAUUAAAGUGUCCAGCAAUAUUGCGUGCUUGUUUAUUUUAAUAUGCAUUACAAACCUAAUAAGAGUGGUACCGCGGAUAUACUUUCGUCUCUUUA
rnacentral:ncRNA from 1 species